GCGAGAGUGGCGGAAUGGCAGACGCUCUGGACUUAGGAUCCAGUAGGGUUUUUCCCUGUGGGGGUUCAAGUCCCCUCUCUCGCA
rnacentral:tRNA from 1 species